UAGCGGAAUCGGGUUUCGAACCUGGAACCCUCAGGUUCUGAAGACGAGACCUUACCACUAAGCCACCGCGGC